rnacentral:misc_RNA from 1 species
UGGUGACAUUAUUAAAUUCAUAUUGGUUGGUCAUAUCGAGUCUUUAUGCUUCCAAGAGGUUGCAUGAUGCUAUGCUUAAUUCUAUAUUGAGAGCUCCAAUGGUCUUCUUUCACACCAAUCCACUUGGACGCAUUAUCAAUAGGUUUGCAAAGGAUCUGGGUGACAUUGAUCGGAAUGUGGCCCCAUUUGUGAAUUUGUUUCUGGGUCUAGUGUCGCAGCUCCUUUCUACCUUUGUCCUCAUCGGAAUUGUGAGCACUAUGUCUUUAUGGGCCAUAAUGCCACUUUUAGUUCUGUUUUAUGGAGCCUAUCU